AGCCAUGUGGCAAAAUGGAUACUGCGUCUCCCUUCUAAGGAGAAGAUUGUGGGUUCAAGUCCCACCAUGGCUG
rfam:Trichomonas vaginalis G3, whole genome shotgun sequence.